rnacentral:rRNA from 1 species
GCAGCAGGCGCGAAAACUUUACAAUGCAGGAAACUGUGAUAAGGGAACCCCGAGUGCCCGUAUACGCGGGCUGUCCAGGUGUUUAAAAAGCAUCUGAAGAAAGGGCCGGGCAAGACCGGUGCCAGCCGCCGCGGUAAUACCGGCGGCUCGAGUGGUGGCCACUAUUAUUGGGCUUAAAGCGUCCGUAGCUGGACUCUUAAGUCUCUUGGGAAAUCCGCCGGCUUAACCGACGGGCGUCUAAGAGAUACUGGGAGUCUAGGGACCGGGAGAGGUGAGAGGUACUCCGGGGGUAGGAGUGAAAUCCUGUAAUCCCCGGGGGACCACCGAUGGCGAAGGCAUCUCACCAGAACGGCUCCGACAGUGAGGGACGAAAGCUGGGGGAGCGAACCGGAUUAGAUACCCGGGUAGUCCCAGCCGUAAACUAUGCGCGUUAGGUGUMCUGGUGACCACGAGUCACUGGGGUGCCGAAGGGAAACCGUGAAACGUGCCGCCUGGGAAGUACGGUCNCAAGGCUGAAACUUAAAGAAUGCGGGGA